rnacentral:tRNA from 1 species
GGGGGCUUAGCUCAGUUGGUAGAGCGUCUGCUUUGCAUGCAGAAGGUCACGGGUUCGAUUCCCGUAGCCUCCA